rnacentral:rRNA from 1 species
AGUGAACGCUGGCGGUAGGCCUAACACAUGCAAGUCGAACGGCAGCACAGUAAGAGCUUGCUCUUACGGGUGGCGAGUGGCGGACGGGUGAGGAAUACAUCGGAAUCUACUUUUUCGUGGGGGAUAACGUAGGGAAACUUACGCUAAUACCGCAUACGACCUACGGGUGAAAGCAGGGGAUCUUCGGACCUUGCGCGAUUGAAUGAGCCGAUGUCGGAUUAGCUAGUUGGCGGGGUAAAGGCCCACCAAGGCGACGAUCCGUAGCUGGUCUGAGAGGAUGAUCAGCCACACUGGAACUGAGACACGGUCCAGACUCCUACGGGAGGCAGCAGUGGGGAAUAUUGGACAAUGGGCGCAAGCCUGAUCCAGCCAUACCGCGUGAGUGAAGAAGGUCUUCGGGUUGUAAAGCCCUUUUGUUGGGAAAGAAAAGCAGCAUGUUAAUACACCGAUGUUUUGACGGUACCCAAAGAAUAAGCACCGGCUAACUUCGUG